UAGCAUGCGCAUGCAGCGUUGUAGCACUGGAUUGUGCAUCCCCAGGGUGGUGCUGAGCCGCGCAGCCUCUGUCAACCAGGCUUCUGUCUUCUCCCAGGCCAUAAGAAGGCUGAACUGCACAGAGAAGAGUUCACAGUCGAACUGACUCACCCACCUCCACCUGGUAGACUUCUGCCCCAGCCGCAAUAUUGGGUCCAUUACAGAAGAUGAUUCGCCAUUUGUUCAUUGAUGUACUUUGAGUCCAGUACAUGGCAGGCACUAACCAACCCUGGACCAGGCCACUCACUUUGUCCCAGCAGACUCCUCUUGUUUGUGGUCAGCAUCGCUGCUUUCAUACUGUACAGGGAUGUCUGUCGCCAAUGCCAAGGGCAGGAGACUAAGGCUAUCCAGCCACUGGGUCUCUU